rnacentral:rRNA from 1 species
ACGCACGCUGGCGGCGUGCUUAACACAUGCCAGUCGAACGGUGAAGCACCUUCCUUUUGGUGGGUGUGGAUGAGUGGCGAACGGGUGAGUAACACGUGAGUAACCUGCCCCCUUCUUCUGGAUAACCGCAUGAAAGUGUGGCUAAUACGGGAUAUUCUGUGCCUGCUGCAUGGUGGGUGUGGGAAAGAUGCGCUUUUGGGUGUUUUUGGUGGGGGAUGGGCUCGCGGCCUAUCAGCUUGUUGGUGGGGUGAUGGCCUACCAAGGCGGUGACGGGUAGCCGGCCGGAGAGGGUGGGCGGUCACACUGGGACUGAGACACGGCCCAGACUCCUACGGGAGGCAGCAGUGGGGAAGAUUGCACAAUGGGCGCAAGCCUGAUGCAGCGACGCCGCGUGAGGGAUGGAGGCCUUCGGGGUGUAAACCUCUUUCGCCAGUGAAGCAGGCCUGUCCCUUGUGGGUGGGUUGACGGUAGCUGGAGAAGAAGCGCCGGCUAACUACGUG